AGCACCGUAGCUCAGAGGUAGAGACGCCCGCUCAUAACGGGCUGGUCGAUGGUUCGAAUCCAUCCGGCGCGACCA
rnacentral:tRNA from 1 species